rnacentral:rRNA from 1 species
GUUCUCCCUGAGACUUAGAGUCUCCUGAAGGAACGUUGAAGACGACGACGUUGAUAGGCCGGGUGUGUAAGCGCAGCGAUGCGUUGAGCUAACCGGUACUAAUGAACCGUGAGGCUUAACCUU